GCGGCCGAGAGCCCCCUCCAGCGUUCAGCAGCGCGCCCUGCCUGGCGCGGCCGCUCCCCUCCGCCCCUGGCGCGGCGGCAGCCCGGGGCUCAGCGCCCGGCGGCAGGGAGGGGGCAGUUGCCUCUUGCCGCCCGGGAGGCGGCGGCGGCGCCUGCCUGCUAUUGGCGGGCUGGUUCCUGAGCGGUUGGACGCUGUGGGGUCCAAAGUGUCGGUCUCCUCUCAGCCCUCCACGGGGUGGGGAAGGCGCUCGGCUCUGUGCCCCCCCUGCCCUGGAGAAAAAGAUCCAUGCAAAUCUAGGAACCCAUUAAAAGCACUAGCUUUUAACUCUAAAAGAAGGCCACACACUUCAAUGCAUGAACAGAUAAAUGCCAAAUUUAUCAAGAGGCAUGGCCCUACUCUAUCAUUCCCUAAAUGCCUGUCCGGAUUAGUCAGAGGCUUCAAAGAAACAGAAGAGGAUAGAUGUAGGGGUAAUAUACUCACGUUUUCCAUUUGCUGAAAAAGGGCAAAAGGGUUAUAUUCCAAACCUGGAUUCUCAUGGACAACUGUGAAAUGCAUCCAAUAUUUGACAAGAGAUUUAGCUCAAAUGUCAGAUUGUGGGAAGAGGAGGAAAUUGAAUGAAUAAGAACCACACAGCACUGAACUUUUACACAAGCUUCUUAUUGUAUUUGAAUGUCAUUUAUUGAGGAGUGAAUGAGAUACUGCCAGACAUGCCAAAGACACUUCACAUUCAAGG